rnacentral:rRNA from 1 species
AUUAGAUACCCUUGUAGUCCCCGCCGUAAACGAUGAGUGCUAAGUGUUAGGGAGUUUCCGCCCCUUAGUGCUGCAGCUAACGCAUUAAGCACUCCGCCUGGGGAGUACGACCGCAAGGUUGAAACUCAAAGGAAUUGACGGGGACCCGCACAAGAGGUGGAGCAUGUGGUUUAAUUCGAAGCAACGCGAAGAACCUUACCAAAUCUUGACAUCCUUUGACAACUCUAGAGAUAGAGCCUUCCCCUUCGGGGGACAAAGUGACAGGUGGUGCAUGGUUGUCGUCAGCUCGUGUCGUGAGAUGUUGGGUUAAGUCCCGCAACGAGCGCAACCCUUAAGUUUAGUUGCCAUCAUUAAGUUGGGCACUUUAAGUUGACUGCCGGUGACAAACCGGAGGAAGGUGGGGAUGACGUCAAAUCAUCAUGCCCCUUAUGAUUUGGGCUACACACGUGCUACAAUGGACAAUACAAAGGGCAGAGAAACCGCGAGGUCAAGCAAAUCCCAUAAAGUUGUUCUCAGUUCGGAUUGUAGUCUGCAACUCGACUACAUGAAGCUGGAAUCGCUAGUAAUCGUAGAUCAGCAUGCUACGGUGAAUACGUUCCCGGCUCUUGUACACACCGCCCGUCACACCACGAGAGUUUGUACCACCCGAAGCCAGGGGAGUAACCAUUUGGAGCUAGCCGUCGAAGGUGGGACAAAUGAUUGGGGUGAAGUCGUAACAAGGUA